rnacentral:rRNA from 1 species
ACCUACGGGGGGCAGCAGUAGGGAAUUUUCGUCAAUGGGCGCAAGCCUGAACGAGCAAUGCCGCGUGAACGAGGAAGGUCUUCGGAUCGUAAAGUUCUGUUGAAGGGGAAAAAGAGCGGAGAGAGGAAAUGGUCUCCGAUUGAUAUUACCCUUCGAGGAAGUCACGGCUAACCACGUGCCAGCAGCCGCGGUAAUACGUAGGUGGCGAGCGUUAUCCGGAAUGAUUGGGCGUAAAGGGUGCGUAGGCGGCCUGCUAAGUCUGGAGUGAAAGGUACCGGCUCAACCGGUACAGGCUCUGGAAACUG